rnacentral:rRNA from 1 species
UGGUGGCAAUGGCGAAGAGGUCACACCCGUUCCCAUCCCGAACACGGAAGUUAAGCUCUUCAGCGCCGAUGGUAGUGAGGGUCUAUCCCUUGUGAGAGUAGGACGCUGCCA